GACGAACGCUGGCGGCGUGCUUAACACAUGCAAGUCGAACGGAAAGGCCCUAGGUGUGUGGGGUUCGCGAGGGGCGAACGCGUGAGUAACACUAGAGUGACCGGCACUUAACUUUGGGAUAACUUCAAGAAACGGGGGCGAAUACCAAAUCGGCACACCUGCUGCAUGGUCGGGGUUGGAAAGUUUCGGCGGGUGGGGGUGGACUCGCGGCUUAUCAGCUUGUGUGUAGUGUAGUGUCUUACGAAGGCUUUGACGGGUAGCCGGCCUGGGAGCGUGACCGGCCACAUUGGGACUGCGAUACGGCGCAGACUCCUACGGGACGCAGUAGUGGGGAAUAUUGCACAAUGGGCGGAAGCCUGAUGCAGCAACGCCGCGUGCGGGAUGACGUCCUUCGGGUUGUAAACCGCUUUCGCCUGUGCCGAAGCGCGAGUGACGGUAAUGGGUAAAGAAGCACCGGCUAACUACGUG
rnacentral:rRNA from 1 species